AAAUGUAUCAGUCCAGAGGUGAGAACGCAAUGAACACCAUCCUCAUUAAGUGAAGCUGGCUCCCUAGGAGCACUCUCAAGAAUGGGAGGAUGAGUCAUAUUGUUCUCAACAUAAAAGUCAGCAGAAUAUGCAUGAGAAGCAAUAUCAGAGUUAGAUUCGGAAGGAGAAUCAUAAUCAUAGACAGAGGUAGAAGAAUCAGUAUUCACAAAAUCAAAAUAGGUAGACAUGGGAAAGAAGGGGGAAAAGAAGAAUGCAAUGAAAAUAUGCAACUAAAGCUAUCUAAAUGCAACACACAAUGACGAACACACAAAACGGAACAUCACACUCACAACACAAGACAAAACACAACACAGACUAACACAACAAAAGACCUAAAACCAAACCUUUGGUCCCCGAGAACGGCGUCAAAAUUUUGAUGAGUUAUCGCGGCCCAUACAAAUUGGAUUGCAUAUUAGAAAUGCAGUAUAGACUAGGAAGUGACUCCUAGGUCGUCUCUCAAGGACCAAACAGUGGUUCGAGAAUUAGGUCUAAAACGAAGGGGGGGUUGUGGAAAGGUUUGAGAAUGCAAUGACGAAAUUAAAAUUAAAAAUUAAACAGAACCGAAUUUAAUUUAAAACAUUAAAGUGCAUGAAAAUAUUAAACUAAACAAUGAAACAGACAAAUAUCUAGCAGAGUUAAAAUUAUUAAUAUGCAUCACUAAAUUAAGAACACAAACACUACUCAACAUUUAAUCUAAACUAUUCUAAAACAAAACAAUUAAAAAUAAA
rnacentral:lncRNA from 1 species